rnacentral:rRNA from 1 species
UUGAACGCUGGCGGCAUGCCUUACACAUGCAAGUCGAACGGCAGCACGGGUGCUUGCACCUGGUGGCGAGUGGCGAACGGGUGAGUAAUACAUCGGAACAUGUCCUGUAGUGGGGGAUAGCCCGGCGAAAGCCGGAUUAAUACCGCAUACGAUCUACGGAUGAAAGCGGGGGACCUUCGGGCCUCGCGCUAUAGGGUUGGCCGAUGGCUGAUUAGCUAGUUGGUGGGGUAAAGGCCUACCAAGGCGACGAUCAGUAGCUGGUCUGAGAGGACGACCAGCCACACUGGGACUGAGACACGGCCCAGACUCCUACGGGAGGCAGCAGUGGGGAAUUUUGGACAAUGGGCGAAAGCCUGAUCCAGCAAUGCCGCGUGUGUGAAGAAGGCCUUCGGGUUGUAAAGCACUUUUGUCCGGAAAGAAAUCCUUGGCUCUAAUACAGUCGGGGGAUGACGGUACCGGAAGAAUAAGCACCGGCUAACUACGUGCCUGCAGCCGCGGUAAUACGUAGGGUGCGAGCGUUAAUCGGAAUUACUGGGCGUAAAGCGUGCGCAGGCGGUUUGCUAAGACCGAUGUGAAAUCCCCGGGCUCAACCUGGGAACUGCAUUGGUGACUGGCAGGCUAGAGUAUGGCAGAGGGGGGGUAGAAUUCCACGUGUAGCAGUGAAAUGCGUAGAGAUGUGGAGGAAUACCGAUGGCGAAGGCAGCCCCCUGGGCCAAUACUGACGCUCAUGCACGAAAGCGUGGGGAGCAAACAGGAUUAGAUACCCUGGUAGUCCACGCCCUAAACGAUGUCAACUAGUUGUUGGGGAUUCAUUUCCUUAGUAACGUAGCUAACGCGUGAAGUUGACCGCCUGGGGAGUACGGUCGCAAGAUUAAAACUCAAAGGAAUUGACGGGGACCCGCACAAGCGGUGGAUGAUGUGGAUUAAUUCGAUGCAACGCGAAAAACCUUACCUACCCUUGACAUGGUCGGAAUCCCGCUGAGAGGUGGGAGUGCUCGAAAGAGAACCGGCGCACAGGUGCUGCAUGGCUGUCGUCAGCUUGUGUCGUGAGAUGUUGGGUUAAGUCCCGCAACGAGCGCAACCCUUGUCCUUAGUUGCUACGCAAGAGCACUCUAAGGAGACUGCCGGUGACAAACCGGAGGAAGGUGGGGAUGACGUCAAGUCCUCAUGGCCCUUAUGGGUAGGGCUUCACACGUCAUACAAUGGUCGGAACAGAGGGUUGCCAACCCGCGAGGGGGAGCUAAUCCCAGAAAACCGAUCGUAGUCCGGAUUGCACUCUGCAACUCGAGUGCAUGAAGCUGGAAUCGCUAGUAAUCGCGGAUCAGCAUGCCGCGGUGAAUACGUUCCCGGGUCUUGUACACACCGCC